AGGCAGAUUACCUACGUCUGGAAAAGCCUCUCAUAAUCUCAUCAAGAACAGACCAAUGGUCCAAGAAAACUGUCCUUUUAGCAGAUGAAAGAAAAUCACACUUUACUUUUAUUUUCUGGAGGUGUCUCUGGCGGCAUCUGCUCCGUCCUCCACCCUCUGUGGGUCUCCACGUAGAGCUUGUUCACCACGGAAAGCACCCUCUCCGACAUGUUGAGUUGGACACCACCAAUCUGCAGAGGACCUGGGCACCAGCAUAACCGAGGCGUCCCAGACGUCCAAUGAGCCAGCCCCUGGUUCCUUCAGGGCACCAGGAGACCUAAUUCCCAGCCUCAUUACUGGCUUGGUCCCCGGCCCUUUGUCACUCAGGCCCAGGGGUCAAGCCUCCCACAGCCCUCUCCCUGAAGUGCCACCCUCCCGGACCAAGCAACCCAGAAAGUGGCUUCCCCCUCCCUUAGGGAGCCACCCCUCACCUGCGUGUUGGUCUCCAGGCCUUCGAGUGGGAGGGGGCAAGAGCAGAGUUCUGGGCAAAACAUCCCUGAGAAAAGAUAAGGGGAAGCUGCGGUGUGGGUGGGAUGUCUUAGGGAUGGAUCCCCCUUAGCCCUUUUGACGGGUGACCUGUACCUGCUGGCUGAAAGGAAGGCCAGGAGAUGGGGCAGGUCCGGCAUGCAGAGGUUAGAGUAUUUCAGGGACACACCUGGGGGUGGAGGGAAACAAGGGGCGGGGAAGAAAAGGUGAGUCCUCAGUCCUGCAAUCCCCCAAAGGAUCUUCAACACAGGGAAAUUUCUACCCCUUAGAGCCCCCACCUUUUCUGGUGUCUUUAUGUCUACAUCCCACUUAUGGCACCAAAUAGCACUUGGGAGAUAUUUUGGAAGCAAAGCUGACUAAAUUUGCUGUGGGCUGGAAACUGGGGGUAGGCUCCUCACCUCCAGGAAGCUUCUGGAUCUGGUAGGUGUGGACUUCUCCUCGUGAAGCUCCUGUCCUCAACACCAGGACCUGGCUAGGGUCGUAUCCUGUGACCAGGAAACUCUAGGGGGUGGGGUGGCGAGGGUAGCAAAGGUCAGCUUUUUUUUUUUUUUUUAAGUUUUAUUUAUUUAAGUAAUCUCUACACCCAAUAUGGGGCCCAAACUCACAACCCCAAGACCAAGAAUUCUCCACUCUGAGCCAGCCAGGUGCCCUGAAGCAAAGAUCAUCUUGAAGAGGAUCUGUACAAAUCUCUGUUACUUUGGCCUGCCCAGCAUCCAUUUCCCUUACUUUGGAUUCCACACCCCAAACUUCCUUUAAAGAAAUCUGCUCCCUCCCUUGGUUCCUGUGUGUGGGACUAACUCCCCUCAAGCCCUAGGGUUGGUCCCAUGACCUGACCUUGCCAAUAGGGUGACAGUACUUUCUCACUGUGAUUGGUUCAGAGAUGGGCGUGUGAAUCAAACCCAGCCAAUGGAAAUCUUCCACAAGAUUUUUGCUUCCUCUUUCUUUGGAAGGAGGCAUCUAUUUAUACUGGCUUUGCUAAGCUUGAGGGAUAUGGCCGUGAGCUGGGAACACCCAUCUCUGCCACCACAAGGACAGAGCCCCCUGGAGAAGGAAGCUGCGUAGACCUGCUAGUGGCCUUAUCCAAGUCCACCCCCUAUUCCUUGCAGGACUGUAGCUUUGUCCUGAGCAUAAACUGCCCAGUUGGAGAAGACGGAUGAUGAUGUAGGUGGGAGGUGUUUCUCACCUCUGGCUUUUAUAAUUCCCAGGUAUUUAAAGAGCCCCGUUUUAAUGUCUGCAAUUCACUUUAGACUAUUUCAGCAUGGACAGCAUGAUAUUUUGUGGGGGAUGCGCACACUCUUGCUGUAAGUGACACACAAUGGGGUCGUGUUCCUCGUCCAUUACCCCCAGCUGCGCGCACUUGAGCUAUUCUGGAAGCCUCACCCCAGCGGCGGUCAGCUGGCGUUUUGGCAGAAAGGCCCCGCUCCAGAGGCCCCACCACAAAUGCUGCAGCUGUCUCUGUCUCACAUGAACACCAGAGGCUUUGUGAAACCAGCAUAAAGAAUGUCAGAAAUGGCUUUCCAUGGGUGAAAUGUGUGGCUUCUCGGCAGCACAAUGGAUGUCAGACAAAGGCUCUCAAUGGCAUUCGAGAAAUGUGGGCCGGAGGAAUAGUUCCCCCCUUUUCUGGACACUCUGCCCUUCCAUGGACGGGGACGCUGACUUUGACAAGCCCUGUUGUCUGGACCCCUCGGGACAGUCCCCCCCCCCCGCCCCCCGCCUUUGUCCCUAACCAGGCCUGCGUCCAGCUCCACGCUCCACGGAACAUGCUUGCCUGCAUCUGACUAACGGGCCAUCGGAUCCGGGGCCUCCAGCCCCGUCCUGUCCAGUAUGGUGCACGUAGCUACAUGUGGCUUUUAACUUUUUAAUUAAUAAAAAUGACGGAAAAUGAAACAUUCAGUCCACUGGUCACGGUAGUGACAUCUGUGAGCGCUCCAGAGCCACAUGUGGCAGCGGCUGCCAUACUGAGCAGGUACGGAUUAGAGUGCAGUUGUGUCUCCCUCCGUGGGCCCCUCUUGUAAGGUAAGAUCAGAGCCCCUCAAAGGACAAAGGGCCGGGGCCUCAGACCCCACAGAACAGACUGCAUGGCGGUCCGGCGACCUCUCUGCCAACACACAUCUCUGUGUACGGCUGAAUUGGGUCUGGACCUUGCUCCCCUAAUAACCCGGCUGUGAGGUGGUGCUGGGAGCCCGCUGCAGACCCCGCUGCUGCCUCAGAUCUCGGGGGGCCACAGAGCAAGGACACCGCUGGAGCCCACAGCGUGGAGCCCCUGAUCUUGGCGCUGGGGAGCCGACGGGAGGCAGGAGGCCCGCCCUCGUGGAUGACCUCCGGGGCCUCACCUUUCAUCCAGCUGAGCGGGUACUCCCGUCGGCACAGGGGGCUGAUACAGUGCGAGGUGUAGAAGGUGCCGUGGGCCUCCACCAGGUCCUCAGGCUCCAGCCCGGCCACCCGCUCCAGGGUGUCUAUGUUCUGCGGGGAGAGGUGGGGGGAAAGGCUCAGCAGCGAGCCGGCCCCUCAGGGGCAGGAGCAGGGCGCUGUGAAGAGAAGCAAAUGGGACGGAGGGAGAAGGAAGCGAAGGAGAAACGAGGGGCACGGUGUGCCCGUAAAGCCCUCCGCUCAUCUCAUGGUGCCACCGAAGCGUAAAAGUCACAGAUGCUUAACGGCGGGGCCCACGCUCAUACAUCUGUGAGCCCAGGCCCACGGCCACCAUCAGCCCAUAUGGAGGUUUUCCGCAUUAUCGGGCCACUUUGUUUCCAUUUUUUCAGAAAAUUUGUUUUGUUAGGACCACACGACGUUAGUGCCACCUGCCAGAAAUUUGUUGGCCUUCACGAACAAGCCCUACAAUGUCUCUGCUGUAGAUAGAGCCCCCUCAGGUGUGGCGUCCUUGUGCAGUAGCCAACCCGCGCAGCUGGAUAUGGCAGGCCUGGCCAAGCAUUAACAGAAAUAAGUGAAUCGGGAGGGUUUAUUUGGUUUUAAUCACUGUUUUCCUAAUUAGCAGUAGGGUUUCUUACUACGGUCUGUUUCAGAGAUGGCACAGUCAUCGCAUUCUUUUCAGACGCAGGUAUAUCCCUCCUUCAACCAGCCAGGCUGUUCUUCUCUUCCAUAUAGGCAUAUGAGCGCUCUCAUUUUUCUUAAAGCACGCAGCCCCUCGGGAGCAGCUUUUGCUGGCCCGUGAGGAAUGCUGCAGGGGCAGGUGCUGACGGGGCACAUGGGCACAUGCCACCCAGAGAUGGCCGGUCACAUGUAGCCCCCAGCUACCCCGGCACGGUUUCCCCGAGACUCCGUGAACAACCGAAAGGGUUGUCUUUCAAGGGCAGACGGCCCCCACUGCUCUCUCUGCUCCCUGCCAGCGAUCAGCUUGUUCCCCCAACGGGCAGACAAGAGCCACUGUUCCCACACUCCCUGCAGCUCUCCCCCUGCCUCCUCCCCCUGCUUUAGUUUUGCCUUUGUGACUUGACUCAGUCUACUGACUCCCUCACACAUGAGUAAGCAGUGUGCGUGCAAAUAAUUAUAUAGCAUGUACAAGAACUACUCAGAUGCCUCUGUUAGUCUGAGGCCACUUUUGAUAAAGAAACCACAAAUUGGAAAAGAACGAGGCUGACCUGUGUGUCCUGAUGUUGAAAUGAUCCCUCCAAGAGGUUAAAAGGCUCAGGAGAACAAGGGCUGUGGGAAAACUAUAUAUGAACGUGUGUACUUGUUUCCCUACGUAUAGAAUAUUUUUUGGAAAGAUUUUAUUUAUUUAUUUGAGAGAAAGAGAAAGAGAGACAGAGAAAGAGAGAGAGUGUGCACAAGCAGGGGGAGCAGCAGG